UGCAGCGAUAAUUACAACAUAAUCUAUGAUACGGGCUUGAGGGAGAAGUAGGGUGCAAAUGUCCGAAUCAAGUACGUGUCUCCAUGUCUAUAUAGUUAGGUACUUUUCGAUUUUCCAUUGAAUUAUGUAUCUACCUACUUAGUUCUAAAAUUCUAAAAAGAUCUAAUAGGUCUACUAAAUGCCAUUGUUAAAGGUGGAAGGUUAGAAACCAUAGGUACAUCAUUGCCAAUAAAAACUGAUUCUAAGUGAAGUUCGCUAUAACACGUUUUAGAAUGUUUUCAUUUUUACAAUAUUGUACGAAAUGUAACAUAACGCUUAAUUAUUUUUAACUUUGAUGAGCCUGGUUUUAAAUUUUCAAAUAGGUAUCAAAUAAAUCAAGGAGGUCGCUAGGGGCGAACGUCCUUUGUUCAUUCUCCAAUACUCCUAGCUUUAUUCAUCAUUGAAAUUGUUGUAAAUGCGUAACUAGUAUACAUUUUCAAAA